ACUGUGGAGCAGGAGUCACACUUAGUCCUGGGAGUUUGCGGCUCUGCGGGGGCAGGGAAGAACCAGAGAGACUAUUCCCGCUUGGGUCCUGCCAGGAAGGAGCUCCCAGGCAGCAGCUGGAGAGCGGAGAUCUGCACUGAAGGCAGCUGCCGGCUGAUGGCACAGGAGAGACACGCUUUCUCCCCACAAUCAAAUCUUUCCAAUAUCGUCUGCCCUCGUUUAACUUUGCUCUCAGAGUUUUCCAGUGAGAUGUACUUUCCUAAAACAAUUAAUUCACCAGAGAGUAGACCACAGGAACUUCAAAGCUCAUAGCUUUCAAAGAACGAAUAGAAACAGGAAACAAGUGGUGGAGCAUCAGAAGCAAACUAUUGAAUAGGACCUGGGAUUUAAAACCUGUGCAUAUGUAGACAUCACAAGUGGGUACCUCACAACAUGAUGAGACACGAGGAUGUUGGACAACAUAGCCAGGGUGGGAGACAGCUUGGCUUCAAAAGUUGGUAGAUUUUACCUGUUAUCAAACUAAGAUUGUUUAAUUACAUAAGUAGAAUGAAACUUUCUAUCACUUGUGUGAAUAUUUAUUACUGCUACUGGUUAUGCAUUUUAUUGUGAGGUGUUAUAUCUAGAUGGUAUUUCUGCUCCACUCCAUUUGCCAUCCACAUGUUUGCUGAGAAUAUGCUAUGGAAGUGGGAUCCAGCUAUUUGUUAACCACGGAUGAAAGAGAGUGGGUACUUGUCAUGUGUUACUGAUAUGUGAAUUUUUAUUUUAGCAGGCCUUCCCCAAAUAAGCUUAAUGAGAUGGCAUUUCAGGUAAUGCUGCUGUCUAGUGGAGGAGAAUUUGUCUAAAUUCCAGACUCAUGUCUCUGUCAAUAACCUUCUAUUUGACAGCUUUUGCAUAAAUCUCCUUUUCAGUACAUUCAGUUUAUUUUCACCAUGUUGAAAUAUUUCUCUUAUCCAUUUCAGAUCCUCAGCAUCCUUUGGCCCCCGAUUUACAUGCUUUUCUCUGCUAGUUCAUCAGAAUUGUUUUGUAUCAUUCCAUUUCAUUUCUAGAUUUUGAGUUCUGGGCUGCUAUCAUGAAGCCAGUGAACACUGCUGGUAGCCAAUCUGGUGGUAUGAAUGAAAUGUUUCCUAUAUCCUCAGACAUCUGCAUAUUUAGUCCUUUGUUGUCAUCUCUUUGGGAAGAUUUGAGAGGCAUGGUCUUGCUGGAGGAAUUAUGCUACUAGGGCUCUGCUGUAAAGUUUCAAAAGUCACAUGUUCUUUCCAGUGUGCGACCUCAGCUUUCUGUUUGCAUUUCAAAAUGUUAGCUAGCCCUAAGCUCUUGCAUUUCAGCCCCUAACUCAGUGUACACCGUCUGCUGACCCCAUUAUGGACCUAACCCUC